rnacentral:rRNA from 1 species
UCCUACGGGGGGCAGCAGUGAGGAAUAUUGGUCAAUGGGAGAGAUCCUGAACCAGCCAAGCCGCGUGAGGGAAGACGGUCCUAUGGGUUGUAAACCUCUUUUGUCGGAGAACAAAACCCGGGACGUAUCCCGGACUGCGUGUAUCCGAAGAAAAAGCAUCGGCUAACUCCGUGCCAGCAGCCGCGGUAAUACGGAGGAUGCGAGCGUUAUCCGGAUUUAUUGGGUUUAAAGGGUGCGUAGGCGGUCCGUUAAGUCAGCGGUAAAAUUGCGGGGCUCAACCCCGUCCAGCCGUUGAAACUUGCAGG